GAGAGAGUGUAACAGAGGAUGAGUUUCAGGGACGAUAGUGAAGAUGGGAGAGACCUCAGGAAGCCAUUUUUGCACACGGGGAGCUGGUAUCGAAUGGGUUCGAGGCAAUCCAGUCUGAUGGGUUCGUCUCAGGCAAUUCGUGACAACUCCAUCUCUGUAGUUGCUUGUGUUCUCAUCGUUGCUUUGGGCCCUAUCCAGUUUGGCUUCAC
rnacentral:misc_RNA from 1 species